rnacentral:rRNA from 1 species
UACGUAGGGGGCAAGCGUUGUCCGGAAUUAUUGGGCGUAAAGCGCGCGCAGGCGGUUCUUUAAGUCUUGUGUUUAAUCCCGGGGCUCAACCCCGGUACGCAUGGGAAACUGGGGAACUGGAGUGCAGGAGAGGAAAGUGGAAUUCCACGUGUAGCGGUGAAAUGCGUAGAUAUGUGGAGGAACACCAGUGGCGAAGGCGACUUUCUGGCCUGUAACUGACGCUGAGGCGCGAAAGCAUGGGUAGCGAACAGG